AGAGUUUGAUCYUGGCUCAGGACGAACGCKGGCGGCGUGCUUAACACAUGCAAGUCGAACGGAAAGGCCCUGCUUUUGUGGGGUGCUYGAGUGGCGAACGGGUGAGUAACACGUGAGUAACCYGCCCUUSACUUUGGGAUAACUUCAGGAAACUGGGGCUAAUACCGGAUAGGAGCUCCUGCUGCAUGGUGGGGGUUGGAAAGUUUCGGCGGUUGGGGAUGGACUCGCGGCUUAUCGGCUUGUUGGUGGGGUAGUGGCUUACCAAGGCUUUGACGGGUASCCGGCCYGAGAGGGUGACCGGCCACAUUGGGACUGAGAUACGGCCCAGACUCCUMCGGGAGGCASCASUGGGGAAUAUUGCACAAUGGGCGGAASCCUGAYGCAGCAACGCCGCGUGCGGGAUGACGGCCUUCGGGUUGUAAACCGCUUUCGCCUGYGACGAAGCGUGAGUGACGGUAAUGGGUAAAGAAGCACCGGCUAACUACGUGCCAGCAGCCGCGGUAAUAC
rnacentral:rRNA from 1 species